rnacentral:lncRNA from 1 species
GGGUUUGGGCAGAGCUGGGGCUUUCCCCAGCCCCAUCCCAGGCUGCUCCACACCUUCUCCAGCUUUGGGGGGUCCCUGCUCCGGCAGAGCCCCCUCUGUGUCCCAGGGGCAGAUUUCUGCCCGGACACUCCUUCCCUGUCCCCGGCUCUCCCACGGGCACACCUCAGCCCUCCUGCCCUCCGCUUGCUCCGGGGCCACUUUGGGCAGCCCUGGUGCGUUUUCCAUUCCCGGAGAACGCUGAGAAUCCCCCUCAGUGCCGCCCUUCCCAGGGCAGAUUCCUGCUCUGGAGCUGGGGUCUCCCCGCGUUCCCCCAGCCCUGAGCUCUCCCUGUGCGCUCCCGGCCCCGCUCCGGCUCCUUCCAGGGCCCGGCUCGGGCUCGGGCUCGGGCUGGCUGCUCCCCUCUUCCAGCGCCCUGUCCGGGCUCUCUGGGGUCCCUCCGUCCUCCCGGGGAGCGAUCGCCUCCUGGCGCAGCAAGGCUCCCCUUCCUGCCGGCAUUCCGAGCCAUCGGGGCGGACAAACCUCAGCCCCGCUGCUCGGGGUGGGCUUUGCGGGUCGCUGCUCCUCCUCCGGGUGGUCCCGGGGCUGGAAGGUCCUGCCGGUCCUCUCGAGCUCCUCAAGUGUCACUUCCUCCGCUGUGACCUCAGCAACGUCCUCCCCCAGAUCCACUGCCGGAGCUUCGUCCCCUUCCUGGGGCUGUCCCCGUGCCACCUCCGGGGGACAUUCAGCUCCUUGGUGUCCCGCGCCGGGUGGCUUCAGACCAGUCCCCGCGUCCCCUCGGGCAGCGCUGGGCUCCUCCGCCGCUUUGUCCCCAUCGCCUGUCCCCGCGGCCAGGCUGUCCCAUUGUCCUCCUGUCCCGCUGUCGCCCCAGUCCGCGGCCUCCCCGGGGGUGGCGGCGUUGUUGUUGUGCUGGAGGGCGGCGGCCUCGAGGCUCUGCCCGCUUCCCUCGGGGCUGACCCCCCCCAGGGACACGGCCGAGGCCUCUGCCAGGCCGGGCUUCUCCCUCCUGCUGCUGCCCCUCUUCCUGAGGCUCCCCUCGCUUUU